rnacentral:ncRNA from 3 species
GGACCAGGCUUCAUUCCCC